rnacentral:rRNA from 1 species
AUUGAACGCUGGCGGCAUGCCUUACACAUGCAAGUCGAACGGUAACAGGUCUUCGGAUGCUGACGAGUGGCGAACGGGUGAGUAAUACAUCGGAACGUGCCCGAUCGUGGGGGAUAACGAAGCGUAAGCUUUGCUAAUACCGCAUACGAUCUACGGAUGAAAGCGGGGGAUCUUCGGACCUCGCGCGGACGGAGCGGCCGAUGGCAGAUUAGGUAGUUGGUGGGAUAAAAGCUUACCAAGCCGACGAUCUGUAGCUGGUCUGAGAGGAUGAUCAGCCACACUGGGACUGAGACACGGCCCAGACUCCUACGGGAGGCAGCAGUGGGGAAUUUUGGACAAUGGGCGCAAGCCUGAUCCAGCCAUGCCGCGUGCAGGAUGAAGGCCUUCGGGUUGUAAACUGCUUUUGUACGGAACGAAAAGGUGCCUUCUAAUAAAGGGCGCUCAUGACGGUACCGUAAGAAUAAGCACCGGCUAACUACGUG